GGUGAAAUCCCAGGGCUCAACCCUGGAACUGCCUCCAAAACUCCUGGUCUUGAGUUCGAGAGAGGUGAGUGGAAUUCCGAGUGUAGAGGUGAAAUUCGUAGAUAUUCGGAGGAACACCAGUGGCGAAGGCGGCUCACUGGCUCGAUACUGACAAC
rnacentral:rRNA from 1 species